CACAGUAUUGACGUCUAAAGCAGUUGAACGAACAUUCACCCGAGAGACAGCAAGAGGAACUCAAAGUUGGUUGGGCUGGCAGCCCGCGGUUUUUGGGAACCAAAAAAACUGCACAUCAGGAGCAUGGCACGGACGCCUUGUCUUUUUUUUUUCCAGGAUGGGGACAAGGGCGACCCGAACAUGACAUACAGUAGAGCGGAGGAAUGGCAGGAGGUAGAAACAACCCUCAGUUUUUGUGGCAUGUAUGCGGGCCCCAGUUUUAAGAAGACUGACACGCUCUUGUACGUUGGGAGGAGAUGGCUGUUUCGGGUCAUCGACUUAGGGGAAGAAACUACAACCUAUCACGCAGUUGAUUGACGUUUGACCUCAAGGUACACAAGAAUGCCAUUUAAUGUUUGCAACAUAUUGGAAUACCUUUGUUUAGGUGUUAGUAUUUUAAGACCCAAGUUCAUCGCAAAACGUUUUAUUGCAACAUGCAAGGCAUCAUUCACAGCCAAAAACCUGUAUAAGGAAGCAAACAUUAAAUGAGUUCCAACUUUA